AGUGGGGAAUAUUGGACAAUGGGCGCAAGCCUGAUCCAGCCAUGCCGCGUGAGUGAUGAAGGCCUUAGGGUUGUAAAGCUCUUUUAGCGGAGACGAUAAUGACGGUAUCCGCAGAAAAAGCCCCGGCCAACUUCGUGCCAGCAGCCGCGGUAAUACGAAGGGGGCUAGCGUUGCUCGGAAUCACUGGGCGUAAAGCGCACGUAGGUGGGUCGUUAAGUCGGGGGUGAAAUCCCAGAGCUCAACUCUGGAACUGCCUUCGAUACUGGCGACCUUCGAGUCCGGGAGAGGUGAGUGGAACUGCGAGUGUAGAGGUGAAAUUCGUAGAUAUUCGCAAGAACACCAGUGGCGAAGGCGGCUCACUGGCCCGGUACUGACACUGAGGUGCGAAAGCGUGGGGAGCAAA
rnacentral:rRNA from 1 species